GAUUAUGGCUCAGGAUGAACGCUAGCGACAGGCUAACACAUGCAAGUCGAGGGCAGCAUAAAAGUAGCAAUACGUUGGUGGCGACCGGCGCACGGGUGAGUAGCGCGUAUGCAACCUACCUAUCAGAGGGGAAUAACCCGGCGAAAGUCGGACUAAUACCGCAUAAAACAGGGACACCGCAUGGUGAUAUUUGUUAAAGAAAUUCGCUGAUAGAUGGGCAUGCGUUCCAUUAGGUAGUUGGUGAGGUAACGGCUCACCAAGCCGACGAUGGAUAGGGGAACUGAGAGGUUGGUCCCCCACACUGGUACUGAGACACGGACCAGACUCCUACGGGAGGCAGCAGUGAGGAAUAUUGGUCAAUGGGCGAGAGCCUGAACCAGCCAAGUCGCGUGAAGGAAGAAGGAUCUAUGGUUCGUAAACUUCUUUUGCAGGGGAAUAAAGUGCAGGACGUGUCCUGUUUUGUAUGUACCCUGAGAAUAAGGAUCGGCUAACUCCGUGCCAGCAGCUGC
rnacentral:rRNA from 1 species